rnacentral:misc_RNA from 1 species
UUGAUUUAUUUAAUCAUUUACUCAGAAGAUACUGUAUAAAAUCAAGGGUUUGGGUCCUCUGGCGGGCUGCCGAAGCAGGCACCGCCGAGGCAACAAAUGGUAUGUUCACAGGGGUUUGGGAGUUGUAAACUCGGUAAUGAUCCCUCCGCUGGUUCACCAACGGAGA